rnacentral:tRNA from 1 species
GUUUAUAUAGUUUAAUAAAACAUUACAUUUUCAUUGUAAAAUUAGAAGUUUUCUUAUAAAUA